rnacentral:rRNA from 1 species
GUCCACGCCGUAAACGAUGUCAACUAGCCGUUGGUUCUAUUUAAUAGGAUUAGUGGCGCAGCUAACGCAUUAAGUUGACCGCCUGGGGAGUACGGCCGCAAGGUUAAACUCAAAUGAAUUGACGGGGCCCGCACAAGCGGUGGAGCAUGUGGUUUAAUUCGAUGCAACGCGAAGAACCUUACCUACCCUUGACAUCCAGAGAAUCUGUUAGAGAUAGUGGAGUGCCGCAAGGAACUCUGAGACAGGUGCUGCAUGGCUGUCGU